rnacentral:lncRNA from 1 species
UUACAAAUAUCUUUCUUGACGUGUCUCAGACACAGCUGAGAGUGCUUAUUUUGCAGACUUUAAUAAAAUCAUGUGAGAAGGAGAUGCAGGAAGCAGACAUAUUCAAAACUAAAUGGAUCUGGGAUCUUCAAAACUAAUGGAGCUUGGAAUAACAACCAUUUGAAAGGGUGAACUGAAGUCAUGGCCAAUACAUUCGUCAUCACCUCUUCAUUCUGAAGAGAAUGUCAGUUCCAAUGUGGAGAUAUCCCAGUACUCUGCUGAUGAUAAAAAUAAGCAGAGAGAACUGUAGCUAUUGGAAGAGAAAACAAAUAUGAAGAAAGCUGAACUGUCAAAGUAACAACUGGCUUGAGAAUAACCAGUAUUCUCCAAGGCAUUUCGAAGGACCUGGGAAAAGAUCCUGUGCUUACCAGGAAAUUUCACUGAUCUUAUCAAGCCCCAAAACACAGGAAGGAGAAAAACAUCUGCACAAAUGAAAAACCAUUGCUAUCUUGUUGAAAACCCCAGUGGUAAACAUUUUUCAUAAAAUGAGAGGUAUCUGCUUCUGUGGGAUUUUUUUUAGCAGUAAAAGAAUAGAUGGUGCAAGACAAGUGAAGAGGGAUUCCAUAAAUAAUUGCAUUUCAGUCACCUGUUUGGCAUCAUCUUAAUUGUUACAACAAAUAGCGCAAGACGACAAAAAAAUGAACAGCUUUCUACUCAGAAGAUAAACUGCUUUUAAAAAAGAAAGGAAUGAAACCCAGCUCCAUAAUUUUUCGAAUCCUAGUUAAUUAAAAUGGGCAUGACUGGAGAAGCAUAGAUGCCUGAGCAGCUUUCAAGACAUUUCUCUGGCAUGUUCCCACUGACUCUGAGACCUUAUUUCCAACCGCAGUAUCUGCUUACCCUAGUGCAGCACCUUCAAACCAACCUUCCCCAAAGGAUCCAGCAGACAUGGUCUGAGACUAGAGCUAAGCACAAGCUGGAACAACAGAGUCUCAGGAGGAAUCCCAGACAAAAAAUGCACUUGGGUGAAGACAUCUCAACUACAGCCACAUCUGCUCUACUCUGCCGUGGUGAGGCAGAGCAUCACAGGAAGAGGAACAAGAAUUCAUGGGAGACAAGUACUGAUGCAGAUGAAGGAGGAAGACAAGACUUGAUCAUCUCAGAAAGAGUGCAGUAAAAGUAAAGCUGUGAGACAACAAGAAACAAGCACAGUUGUGUUGUUAUGUAUAGAAGGCCAGAGUUCAGAGAGUCUGGUUUCUUGAGGAUGAUGUAU